rnacentral:rRNA from 1 species
UGACAGAGGUCCCGAGCGUUGUUCGGAUUCAGCUGGGCGUAAAGGGUGCGUAGGUGGCAUGAUAAGUUUGAAUGUGAAAUCUCCGGGGCUCAACCCGGAAAAUGCAUUGAAUACUAUCAGGCUGGAGGUUUGGAGGGGGGACUGGAAUUCUCGGUGUAGCAGUGAAAUGCGUAGAUAUCGAGAGGAACACCAGUGGCGAAAGGCGAGUCCCUGGACAACACCUGACACUGAGGCACGAAAGCUAGGGGAGCAAACAGG